UCCUGAUCAAGCACACAGAGUGAGUGGGUUCAGAGUAGCAUUGAGGCUGGGAAUCUGAAACCUUGGACGCAUCCAGGAGGGCUUCCUGGAGGAGGCAGAGCUGGAGAAAAGGAUGGAGAAGAAUAGAGCUUCAGGCCAGGGAAUGGAAGAGUUAGGACAGCGCCUGUCUUCCGGAGCCAGGAGGUGCCCACUUCUGUGGGUUUUUCCUGGGAAACUGAAGGCCAGGAACAAGCCUUCCUCAGUCUGUAUGGAGGGGCCCAACACAGGGCUGGGCCAAGGCUGGGCAAAGCCCACAACAACAGCAGACACUGGGGAAGAUGCCAGGAGGCAUGCUGGGUAGCUGAGGAUGACAAUCUGGGAUCACAAAAGCCAACAUUGGGUAUCUUUUUGUUGUUGUUUUUGCUUGUCUUGCU